AACGAACGCUGGCGGCGCGCUUAACACAUGCAAGUCGAGCGAGAACCAGGGCUUCGGCCCUGGGGACAGCGGCGAACGGGUGAGUAACACGUGGGUAAUCUGCCCUCGGCAUCGGGAUAGCCCGGGGAAACCCGGAUUAAUACCGAAUAGCCUCCGGAGCCUUCGGGCGCCGGAGAAAAGGUAGCUUCGGCCUCUGGCCGAGGAUGAGCCCGCGGCGGAUUAGCUAGUUGGCGGGGUAACGGCCCACCAAGGCGACGAUCCGUAGCUGGGCUGAGAGGACGAUCAGCCACACUGGGACUGGGACACGGCCCAGACGCCUACGGGAGGCAGCAGUGGGGAAUCUUGCGCUAAUGCGGGAAACCGUGACGCAGCGACGCCGCGUGGGGGAAGAAGGCCUUCGGGUUGUAAACCUCUUUCAGGAGGGACGAAGCCACUCGGGUGAAUAGCCCAGAGGGUGACGGUACCUCCAGAAGAAGCCCCGGCUAACUACGUGCCAGCCGCCGCCGUAA
rnacentral:rRNA from 1 species